rnacentral:rRNA from 1 species
CCUACGGGAGGCAGCAGUGGGGAAUUUUGGACAAUGGGCGCAAGCCUGAUCCAGCAAUGCCGCGUGAGUGAAGAAGGCCUUCGGGUUGUAAAGCUCUUUUGUCAGGGAAGAAAAGGCUACGGAUAAUACCUGUGGCUCAUGACGGUACCUGAAGAAUAAGCACCGGCUAACUACGUGCCAGCAGCCGCGGUAAUACGUAGGGUGCAAGCGUUAAUCGGAAUUACUGGGCGUAAAGCGUGCGCAGGCGGUUUUGUAAGACUGUCGUGAAAUCCCCGGGCUCAACCUGGGAAUGGCGAUGGUGACUGCAAGGCUAGAGUUUGGCAGAGGGGGGUAGAAUUCCACGUGUAGCAGUGAAAUGCGUAGAUAUGUGGAGGAACACCGAUGGCGAAGGCAGCCCCCUGGGUCAAACUGACGCUCAUGCACGAAAGCGUGGGGAGCAAACAGGAUUAGAUACCCUGGUAGUCCACGCCCUAAACGAUGUCUACUAGUUGUCGGGUCUUAAUUGACUUGGUAACGCAGCUAACGCGUGAAGUAGCCGCCUGGGGGAGGUACGGUCGCGAGAAGUUAAACGUAACAAGUAGAAGUUAGUACGGCGUGAGACGUGACCGACGGACGACGACGAGGGAGGUUAGG